rnacentral:pre_miRNA from 10 species
GGUGCUGCAGCUGGUGUUGUGAAUCAGGCCGACAGCAGCGCAUCCUCUUACCCGGCUAUUUCACGACACCAGGGUUGCAUCA